UACGAAGGGGGCUAGCGUUGUUCGGAAUUACUGGGCGUAAAGGGCUUGUAGGUGGCCAACUAAGUCAGACGUGAAAUCCCUCGGCUUAACCGGGGAACUGCGUCUGAUACUGGAUGGCUGGAGUGUGGGAGAGGGAUGCGGAAUUCCAGGUGUAGCGGUGAAAUGCGUAGAUAUCUGGAGGAACACCGGUGGCGAAGGCGGCAUCCUGGACCAUUACUGACACUGAAAAGCGAAAGCCAGGGGAGCAAACGGG
rnacentral:rRNA from 1 species